ACAGCAGCCGCCGCGGUAAUACGGAGGGAGCUAGCGUUGUUCGGAAUUACUGGGCGUAAAGCGCACGUAGGCGGCUUUGUAAGUUAGAGGUGAAAGCCUGGGGCUCAACUCCAGAAUUGCCUUUGAGACUGCAUCGCUUGAACACGGGAGAGGUGAGUGGAAUUCCGAGUGUAGAGGUGAAAUUCGUAGAUAUUCGGAAGAACACCAGUGGCGAAGGCGGCUCACUGGACCGUUGUUGACGCUGAGGUGCGAAAGCGUGGGGAGCAAACAGGAUUAGAUACCCCUGUAGUCCCUGUCUCUUAUAC
rnacentral:rRNA from 1 species